GCUGGUGUGGCGGAACUGGCAGACGCCCAGGACUUAAAAUCCUGUGAGGUUUCCCCUCGUACCGGUUCGAUCCCGGUCACCAGCACCA
rnacentral:tRNA from 1 species